rnacentral:misc_RNA from 1 species
AUCCAACUGUCUCUUAUUGUCCUGUUUUUGUUUUAUGUUAGAUUUUUUAUUAUUUUUCUUUUAUGUUUUAUGUCUGUUUUAACUGUUGUCUUUUUCUCUCUUACUAUCGAUCUAACUGUUAUGUUUGUCUAAGACACUACACAAAAAAGAAAAACUCCGACUGCCCUUACCUCUGAUGGUGGAUGUAAUGGCAGAUUGUGUCGUGAUAUGUGAUUAUGACUAUGGCAGCAAUAAGUGCUUAUCUUCUGUGGGUCCAGCCCCUCUGUAUAUAGGUAUACGUACAGUUGUACAGACCUGUACAAACCUCACACUAUGUAUAGGGGUCAAUUAAUCUAUAUGUCUGAUGUAUCUGUAAAUAAGACCCCGGACCUUUAUUUAUGCAGUGUACAGUUACCUCUGUCAUGGCUUAGUGAGUGAAUGUUGUCUGUUGCAGUGAUUGUCUGUGUGUCUGACUGUGUGGUAGAUCAACCUUUAUUGUUAUUAUCAUGUCUGAUUUAUUUAUGUAGAGUCUUCAUAUAUUCUUAUUUAAUAAAGUUCCCAUAUCAAAGAAAUAUUCAAAUUUCCAAACACCUUCAAACCCAAAUUUUUGAAAUCGGUAUUCUUCCUGUUUUCUGUAUGAAACAGACUCUACAGCUGAUAGUUUCAUAAUGAUCAAACUACACUUGUAUGUGUGUGUGCGAGUGUGAUGAGUAAAUGUUGUGAAGAGUGCAGACUGAGAACAGAUAUCUGCCAUUGUAGUGCUGAGAUAGUGCCGACCUGUUAAGUCAUGAGCUUGUACAUACUGUGUACAGUGUACAGAAAUUCUUGUACAGAGAGCUUUAUAUUUAUUGACAAAGCCAUAUAUUUAUCUCCCAAGAUUUUGCUGUAUUCCUAACUCACUGUUAUUACUUAGUAAUUCUAGAACAUGAGGCAGAAGUGAAAGGGAUAGUUCAGUGGGCUUGACAGGCUUAGUGGUGAUUGCUGUUGUGUGGAGAAAUUUGGUUUAAAGAAAUAUAGGGUUAACAAGUGGUUUCCAGUGUGGAGAGAUUCGGUUAGAAACGGUUUAGAUUUGAGAGAUGGUUGAUGGUCAGUGUGUCAUAGAAGAAAAGUAUGUGUCCAUGUAGAAUGUUAAGCAAGUGUUUGUCUUGGUUUUGUGUUGUCUUAAAAAUUGUCUGGUUAAUUCAGGUUUUUUCUGGUGAGAUAAAGUUAAUCCCCCAAUUAGAGACCUUUCAUUAUAUUUAAUAGUGUGAAACACAAAUAUUUGAUAGAACUGAUGUAGACUGGUAAAUUUGUCUCUCCUCUAAAGCUUUGUGUACAGUGUUGUGUGAAUAGUUUGAAUUUAAAUUAUUGGUAUUUAUUGUUCCUUGUGUGAAUAACUCAGUAGUCAUAACUAGUGAAUUUUUGUAGUGUCUUAGUGAAUUUUAGUGUUUGUGUAUUUUAGCAUGAUGAAUGGUUCCUCAGGAGUUUUAAUUCUGUAACAAGCGGUGUAUAAAAGAUUUUAGAGUGUGUUGAGUAGUUGUUCUGAAGAGGUUUUAGCUCACCUGGUUUUAAGGAGUGGUGGUGCUGUGUAGGGGUGUGACAUUGAGGUCAAAAGUCACCAUGUGAUUUGACUUGUGAUGUAGGAGGUGCAAUACACACAUUUAAAGAUCUAUCAGAGAUUAGAAUCAAGAGUCUUAUUUUUAUCAGUAGAGUUUUAUGGAGAAGUUUUAGUGUGAUAAAUUGUGUGACUGAACAUUUCCAAAGCUUCGGGCCCAUCAAAGAGUCAUAGAGAGAUUACAGUAAAAAAUCAUUGGACAUGUUACAUUUUAUUGCCAUUACAGCACAUAUAGCUCAUAUUAUAUAUAGGAGAAAUAUCUGUACUUGCAGAUUAUAUGUAAUAAAAUUUUUACUAAUCUG